UACGUAGGCAGCAAGCGUUGUUCGGAAUUACUGGGCGUAAAGCGUGCGUAGACGGUUAUCUAAGUCGGAUGUGAAAGCCCCGGGCUCAACCUGGGAAUUGCAUUCGAGACUGAAUAGCUAGGGUGCGGUAGAGGGAAGCGGAAUUCCCAGUGUAGCGGUGAAAUGCGCAGAUAUUGGGAAGAACACCAGUGGCGAAGGCGGUUCUCUGGGACGGUACUGACGCUGAGACGCGAAAGCGUGGGGAGCGAACAGG
rnacentral:rRNA from 1 species